rnacentral:rRNA from 1 species
GAUGAACGCUAGCGGCAGGCCUAAUAUAUGCAAGCUGAACGGUAAAUGUUGUAGCAAUACGAUAUGAGAGUAGCGUAAGGGUGCGUAACACGUAUGCAAUCUACCCGCAACAGGAGGAUAGCUCCCCGAAAGGGGAAUUAAUACUCCAUAAUAUCACGAGAGGGCAUCUGAUUGUGAUUAAACUCCAAGGGGUUGCGGAUGAGCAUGCGUCUGGUUAGUUAGUUGGUGAGGUAACGGCUCACCAAGACGAUGAUCAGUAGGGGAACUGAGAGGUUGAUCCCCCACACUGGCACUGAGAUACGGGCCAGACUCCUACGGGAGGCAGCAGUAGGGAAUAUUGGUCAAUGGGUGAGAGCCUGAACCAGCCAUGCCGCGUGCAGGAAGAAAGCCUUCUGGGUUGUAAACUGCUUUUGUCAGGGGAUAAAAUACCCGUGCGCGGGGAAUUGAAGGUACCUGAUGAAUAAGCCACGGCUAACUACGUGCCAGCCGCCGCCGUAAGAC